UCUUCUUCAAAAAAAAUUUGAAAAAACUCUCUGAAGGCCCUCUCCUUUUCCGGCCUAAGGUCCGGCUCGGCCUCCGGCGUAGCACCGCCGUAUGCGGUAGCCGACGGCUCAAAAUCGGAUCUUUUUGAUCCUAGUUCGAAGCCGAGUGUCUCCUAGGCACGGAUCUGGGACCGAAUCUCGUGAAACAAAGGCCGAAGACCUGGAAAAAGGGCGAAACCGCUCGCCUUCCUCCACCUCUGGCGCGGCGCAGGUAAGGUACAAGUUGCGGUGAUUGAAGCAGAUGGCUGAGGUGACGUGCGGCGCGGUGAUGGCGGUACUGGCAGAAGAGACGUGCGGCGGCAGUACUAGGGUUUCAGAAAAGCUGAAACCCUAGUUUGACAAAUUUUUUGGAAUUGGGCCUGGGCAUUGGGCUUCACCUUUGGGCUGCUGGGUUUAAUUGUUUUUGUUUGGGUUAAUUGGGUUUGCCUGGUUUUGGAUGGGUUUGUAAUGGGUAAAUUUGGGCUUGUACAACAAGCACCUAAUCAUGUUAAAUUAUAUAUUUUAUAUAAUUAAAUUAUUUUUUUAAAAA